rnacentral:rRNA from 1 species
CAGGAUGAACGCUGGCGGCGUGCUUAACACAUGCAAGUCGAACGGUGAAGAGAAGCUUGCUUCUUGGAUCAGUGGCGAACGGGUGAGUAACACGUGAGCAAUCUGCCCCUGACUCUGGGAUAAGCGCUGGAAACGGUGUCUAAUACUGGAUACGAGCUGCGGAGGCAUCUCCAGCAGUUGGAAAGAUUUUUCGGUCAGGGAUGAGCUCGCGGCCUAUCAGCUUGUUGGUGAGGUAAUGGCUCACCAAGGCGUCGACGGGUAGCCGGCCUGAGAGGGUGACCGGCCACACUGGGACUGAGACACGGCCCAGACUCCUACGGGAGGCAGCAGUGGGGAAUAUUGCACAAUGGGCGGAAGCCUGAUGCAGCAACGCCGCGUGAGGGAUGACGGCCUUCGGGUUGUAAACCUCUUUUAGCAAGGAAGAAGCGAAAGUGACGGUACUUGCAGAAAAAGCGCCGGCUAACUACGUGCCAGCAGCCGCGGUAAUACGUAGGGCGCAAGCGUUAUCCGGAAUUAUUGGGCGUAAAGAGCUCGUAGGCGGUUUGUCGCGUCUGCUGUGAAAUCCCGAGGCUCAACCUCGGGCCUGCAGUGGGUACGGGCAGACUAGAGUGCGGUAGGGGAGAUUGGAAUUCCUGGUGUAGCGGUGGAAUGCGCAGAUAUCAGGAGGAACACCGAUGGCGAAGGCAGAUCUCUGGGCCGUAACUGACGCUGAGGAGCGAAAGGGUGGGGAGCAAACAGGCUUAGAUACCCUGGUAGUCCACCCCGUAAACGUUGGGAACUAGUUGUGGGGUCCAUUCCACGGAUUCCGUGACGCAGCUAACGCA